CAUACCACCCUGAACGCGCCCGAUCUCGUCUAAUCUCGGAAGCUAAGCAGGGUCGGGCCUGGUUAGUACUUGGAUGGGAGACCGCCUGGGAAUACCAGGUUAAAAAAAAAA
rnacentral:rRNA from 1 species